rnacentral:lncRNA from 1 species
CCUUGCAGGUAUAACUGUAAUGAGCUUUCAGCUCUUGUUUGAGUGCAUUUUCCACCUGAAUUCGAAUCUAUAAUGAAUCAUGAGCUGAUUUCCAAGCUGCCGUCUCAGGAGGACAGCUGGGUGAAAAGGUCAGGGAGAACUGGUCUUUGUUUAAAGUGGUGCCAGCAAAAAUAUCUCAUUUAAAAUCUGCUGGAAGUUGGCACUUUCAUUUUUUCACCUUU